GCAGCCCCAACACCCGAAUCGGAUGUCAAUUUCCCGUUUGUAAUACAAAAUGACUGAAAAACGGCAAACUUCGCAAGGCUAUAUUAUCCGCAUUCUACAAGAUUUUGCAACAAAACUUUGGAAUAUUACUAAUCUUGUGAUGCUCUUUCAAGCUGUGAUGAAAUUUUUGUCUAGAUCGAAAUUUUAGUUAUAAGGGGAAAGGUCCA